UACAGAGGCCCCGAGCGUUAGGCGGAAUCACUGGGCUUAAAGCGUGUGUAGGUGGAUGCCUAAGUACCUUGUGAAAUCCCACGGCUUAACCGUGGGAUUGCUGGGUAUACUGGGUGUCUUGAGCCACUCAGGGGCUACCGGAACAAAUGGUGGAGCGGUGAAAUGCGUAGAUAUCAUUUGGAACGCCAAUGGUGAAAACAGGUAGCUGGGGGUGUGCUGACACUGAGACACGAAAGCCAGGGGAGCAAACGGG
rnacentral:rRNA from 1 species